UUGAUCCAUUCAAUUGAAAUUAGUAUCACAAUCCAAAAACUCUCUUUCGAGUUUAUUUCGCGUCCAAUUUGCACCGAAACAUUCAAUUACUUUCCAAAAUCAUUCCCACACCUCCAGAAUUACUCGGGAAAGAUGCACAUCCAGUUCAAACUUCACUUUGAUCCCCUAAAUCAAGGUUAGCAUUGUAACCCGAAAAUUUCAGUAUAUUAC
rnacentral:lncRNA from 1 species